AUUUUCCAUCACACCAUCAUGAUUCUGCUCUCAUCUGAUUUAAGAAGCUAAGCAGGAGUGGACCUGGCUAGCACUUGGAUGGGAGAAAGAAUCCAGCCUGAAAUUC
rnacentral:rRNA from 1 species